AUUAAAUAGAUUUUGCUAAAAGGAUUAAAUAGCUCAAGUGUUAAAAGAAGGUAGAUUUAAAGGGAAAUAAGGGCAAAAUUGGAAAUUUUACAACUUUAACAUAUAAAAUAAGAAUAAAAUUGAAGAAUCUAAAGAUCUCUUCAUAUUUUAUCAGCCAAAACGCCAUAGAAGGUCUGGAGAAAGCUGGUUUUUCAUAUUUUACAUCAUAUCAAGAAAACGAACUGAAUCGUGGAAAGGAGAAAAUUCAAGAAUAGUCCCUGAAUUUCUACGACUUUUGCAAAUUAGUCCAGAUUGAAUUAAAGAGAAGUUGGUAGAUCGGAUCAACACAACAGGGGACACUAUUCAGAUCAAUUCCGGUAGUUUUUGUUUUAUGUUUAAAGAUUUAUAUGGCAUGUAUAGAGUUUGAAUGAAUUGAAGUAAAGAUGUUAUAAACUAGUUAACAAUAUUUGUACUAAAACAGUUUUUGGUAA